CCUACGGGAGGCAGCAGUGGGGAAUAUUGCACAAUGGGGGAAACCCUGAUGCAGCGACGCCGCGUGAGUGAAGAAGUAUUUCGGUAUGUAAAGCUCUAUCAGCAGGGAAGAAAAUGACGGUACCUGAUUAAGAAGCCCCGGCUAACUACGUGCCAGCAGCCGCGGUAAUACGUAGGGGGCAAGCGUUAUCCGGAUUUACUGGGUGUAAAGGGAGCGUAGACGGCAGCAGAAGUCUGGAGUGAAAGGCCGGGGCUGAACCCCGGAACGGCUUGGGAAACUGUGCAGCGAGAGUGCAGGAGAGGUAAGUGUAAUUCCUAGUGUUGCGGUGAAAUGCGUAGAUAUUAGGAGGUAC
rnacentral:rRNA from 1 species